rnacentral:rRNA from 1 species
UAACGCGUGAAGUUGACCGCCUGGGGAGUACGGUCGCAAGAUUAAAACUCAAAGGAAUUGACGGGGACCCGCACAAGCGGUGGAUGAUGUGGAUUAAUUCGAUGCAACGCGAAAAACCUUACCUACCCUUGACAUGUCUGGAAUUCCGAAGAGAUUUGGAAGUGCUCGCAAGAGAACCGGAACACAGGUGCUGCAUGGCUGUCGUCAGCUCGUGUCGUGAGAUGUUGGGUUAAGUCCCGCAACGAGCGCAACCCUUGUCAUUAGUUGCUACGAAAGGGCACUCUAAUGAGACUGCCGGUGACAAACCGGAGGAAGGUGGGGAUGACGUCAAGUCCUCAUGGCCCUUAUGGGUAGGGCUUCACACGUCAUACAAUGGUCGGGACAGAGGGUCGCCAACCCGCGAGGGGGAGCCAAUCCCAGAAACCCGAUCGUAGUCCGGAUCGCAGUCUGCAACUCGACUGCGUGAAGUCGGAAUCGCUAGUAAUCGCGGAUCAGCAUGUCGCGGUGAAUACGUUCCCGGGUCUUGUACACACCGCCCGUCACACCAUGGGAGUGGGUUUUACCAGAAGU